GCCAGUUGGGUCUAGUGGUUAAGAUGCCAGGUUGGAAACCAGGAGACUGUGAGUUCUAAUCCUAUCAGGCA
rnacentral:tRNA from 1 species